rnacentral:rRNA from 1 species
GAUGAACGCUAGCUACAGGCUUAACACAUGCAAGUCGAGGGGCAGCGCAGUGUAGCAAUACAUGGGCGGCGACCGGCGCACGGGUGCGUAACGCGUAUCCAACCUUCCCGAUACUCAGGGAUAGCCUUCCGAAAGGGAGAUUAAUACCUGAUGGUGUUUCAAUUCCGCAUGUUAAUGAAACUAAAGAUUUAUCGGUAUCGGAUGGGGAUGCGUGACAUUAGAUAGUAGGCGGGGUAACGGCCCACCUAGUCUACGAUGUCUAGGGGUUCUGAGAGGAAGGUCCCCCACACUGGAACUGAGACACGGUCCAGACUCCUACGGGAGGCAGCAGUGAGGAAUAUUGGUCAAUGGUCGGAAGACUGAACCAGCCAAGUAGCGUGAAGGAUGAAGGUUCUAUGGAUUGUAAACUUCUUUUGUUCGGGAAUAAAGUGCAGUAUGUAUACUGUUUUGUAUGUACCGUUCGAAUAAGCAUCGGCUAAUUCCGUGCCAGCAGCCGCGG